GACUGCAGAUGCCCAAAGGGCACCCGUUGGCCGCCACUGCCGCCCAGCGUCGGGUCCGGCCUCUAGUGGCUCGGACUCCGGGCCCGUCACCGCCACUUGGGAACUCAGAGCAUCCUUUCUCCUUCCUGCCGGUGGCGGCUGCCGCCCCGCCGCCUCUGUCCCUUUAAGAGAGAGAACAAACACAAUCAGGAAGUGUGAGAGCGCGGAGCCGGCUCCCAGCGCAGCAGUGUCCGUCCGGGGGCGGGGGGCGGGCGGCAGGGGGAGCCGAGGGGGAAACCCUCCGCUGCAGCCCUCCCAGCUCCAGGGGUGCCACGGGCCCCUCCGGCCGGCCCAGCCUCGGGGUCCCUGGGGCCGCGGCCACCCGGAUGCUGUGCGCCCGGCCCAUGGAUGACAGCGAGCCCUGAAAGCUCGGCGGAUGCCACGCGCUCCCACCAGCCUGCCAGGCCCACAGCCGAGAUGGGCUCAGCUCCUGGACUUGCCGCAGACAGAAAGCACAACAGACUCUCGCCCGGCAGCGUCUCUGCCUGAUCCGCGGCUGCUCGGAGCGCGGGGCCAGAAGUGGCCAGCCAGCCAGGGGCAGGAGAUGCAGAGCACCGUCAAUUACCUAUGGCACACGGACGACCUGCUGGGGCAGGGGGCCACUGCCAGUGUGUACAAGGCCCGAAACAAGAAAUCCGGGGAGCUGGUUGCUGUGAAGGUCUUCAACACGGCUAGCUACCUGCGACCCCUCGAGGUGCAGGUGAGGGAGUUUGAGGUCCUGCGAAAGCUGAACCACCAGAACAUCGUCAAGCUCUUUGCGGUGGAGGAGACGGGGGCCGGCCGGCAGAAGGUGCUGGUGAUGGAGUAUUGCUCCAGUGGGAGCCUGCUCAGCGUGCUCGAGAGCCCCGAGAACGCCUUCGGGCUUCCCGAGGAGGAGUUUCUGGUGGUGCUGCGCUGUGUGGUGGCAGGCAUGAACCACCUGCGGGAGAAUGGCAUCGUCCACCGCGACAUUAAGCCUGGAAACAUCAUGCGCCUCAUGGGGGAGGAGGGGCAGAGCAUCUACAAGCUGACGGACUUCGGGGCCGCCCGGGAGCUAGAUGAUGACGAGAAGUUUGUCUCUCUCUAUGGCACUGAGGAGUACCUGCACCCCGACAUGUAUGAGCGGGCCGUGCUUCGCAAGCCCCAGCAGAAGACAUUCGGGGUGUCCGUGGAUCUCUGGAGCAUUGGGGUCACCCUGUACCAUGCAGCCACUGGCAGCCUUCCCUUCGUCCCCUUUGGUGGACCACGGCGUAACAAGGAAAUGAUGUACCGGAUCAUCACGGAGAAGCCGUCCGGGGCCAUCGCGGGCACGCAGCGGCAGGAGAACGGGCCCCUGGAGUGGAGCUACAGCCUUCCCAUCACCUGCCGGCUGUCCAUGGGGCUGCAGAGCCAGCUGGUGCCCAUCCUGGCCAACAUCCUGGAGGUGGAACAGGCCAAGUGCUGGGGCUUCGACCAGUUCUUCGCGGAGACCAGCGACAUCCUGCAGCGGGUCGUUGUCCAUGUGUUCUCCCUGUCCCAGGCGGUCCUGCACCACGUCUACAUCCAUGCCCACAACACGAUAGCCAUCUUUCUGGAUGCUGUGUAUGAGCAGACCAGGGUGGCACCCCAGCACCAGAAGUUCCUCUUUGAGGGUCACCUCUGCGUCCUCGAGCCCAGCCUGUCAGCGCAACAUAUCGCCCACACGACCGCAAGCCACCCCCUGGCCCUGUUCAGCACGGCCAGCGAGACCCCCAAGGGGCUGGCCUUCAGGGACCCUGCUCAGGACAUCCCCAAGUUCUUCCCCAAAGUGGACCUGCAGGCAGAUUACACCACCGCCAAGAGUGUACUGGGCGCCGGCUACCAGGCCCUGUGGCUGGCGCAGACCCUGCUGGCCGGGCAGGAGUUCAUGUUUCGGGGGCUGCACUGGUGUGUGGAGAUGCUCCAGGCUACGUGCAGGCGGACGCUGGAGGUCACGCGGAUGGCCCUCCUCUUCCUCAGCAGCAGCCUGGGCACCGAGAGGUUCAGCAGUGUGGCUGGGAUGCCUGAGAUGCAGGAGCUGAAGAGAGUCACGGAGCUGAGGUCCAAGCUGCGGGCUUUGGCAGAGGCCCUCUCCAGAUGUUCCUACAGUAUCACAGAGACCCAGAUGAGCCUGAGCAACCUGAGCUCUGAGCUGGUGAAGAACCGGGAUCAGGUACAUGCGGACAGAAGCAUCCAGCAGAUUCAGUGUUGUUUGGACAAGAUGAACCUCAUCUACAAACAGUUCAAGAAAUCCAGAAUGAGGCCAGGGCUUGGCUACAACGAGGAGCAGAUUCACAAGCUGGAUAAAGUGAAUUUUAGUCAUUUAGCCAAAAGGCUCCUGAAGGUAUUCCAGGAGAAGUGUGUGCAGAAGUAUCAGACAUCCCUGGUCACGCACGGCAGGUGGAUGAGGAAGGUGCACGAGACCAGGAACCAUUUGCGCACGGUCGGCUGUUCUGUGGCUGCCUAUAACACGGAAGCCCAGGGAGCCCAGGAGAGCCUCAGCAAGAUCCUUGACUGGUUAUGUCACCAGCUCCUUCAGGACAGAACAAAGGACGCUCAGGUCUCACCACCCCCGACAGCCACCUAUCCCAGCCCUGCACUGACGGACCUGGUUCUCCACCGCAGACGCCUCUCUUGCCUCUGCCUCGGACAGCAUGCAAGAGCUCUGUAAGGAGAUGAAGCUGCUGGCCUUCGACCUUCAGGACAACAAUCGCAUCAUUGAAGGGUUAAGUAGGCCCCCGUCGGCUCCUGACUCCUGAUCUCUGAGCUCCGUGGGGUGCCCGACAUCCGGAAGCAUUAGAACCAUUCAAACACUGCUGUCCUGCCUGCAGUGUGGGACCUAACACGGAUGCUGUCUGGUCCCCUCUCAUCAGCCUACCUCCCUCCUGGCCGACAGCUGGGAGCCAUCACCAGCAUUACCUUCCACUGCCUCCCUGCCUGAAGCAGCACGGCAGGACCUGGGGAGGGCCGUCCCUGUCAGGACCCACUGCCUGGGCUGCCCUUGGCGUCUCCCGCAGGCUCAGGCACAUCUCCUCGGUCGCCCCGGCCUGUAGAGCUAAAGCUGGGGAGAAGAGGCUCCGAUCGGCCCGCCCACCCCCCUCCUCUGGGUUACAGGGCUUCGCUUCUCAGGGAACAGAAGAGGAGGCCUCUGGGGGUUUCCCUAGGAUGCUGGGUCAAACAACCUCAUUUCGGUCUUCCUUCCUCUUAAGGGGUUUCAUGUUGAACAUACAGCCCUGCCCUCUCCUGUGAUUUCUGAGGGUCCCCGCUUUUGGCCCCGGGCAUGACACAGCCUGAUUUUCCCUCGACUCUUGGUCUGGCAGAGCCUGGCAGAGUUGAGAGAAUGGGUGGUCCAGGCCAGGUGCUAGAGCCGUGGGCACCUCGCCUUCCUCUCUCCCUGAGGCACGGCCAGGCUUUGGGAGAUGCAGCCAGCCGCGGUCACCGGUGAGCACAGGCCUGUAAGUCCAGAUAAGAGGCCUGCGCCUUCGAGAAGUAGAAUAAACAGGGCCGUCUUUUCUAUUUCUGAGUGGCUCUUGCUGGGUGGUGUCUGUGAGGCAGGGGAAGGCUCUUGGCGGAGUGCGCUUGGCCUCCCAGCAGGGCUGGGUGGGGAUCUGUGAGGACAGGAUUGGGAAAUGGAGCCGGGACUGGUCACUUCCUGAUUCCUGCCUUUCCCCUAAAUGUGCCCUAAUUUCAAGGAAGAGCCCUAGGAAGAUGGCAUCCUGCUGGGAGGGCUUGCCUUCCCAUUCCUUCUCCUGCCCCCAGCCAUUUGGGGGAGCUGUCUAGGGGGCCUGGGACUAGGGGAGAAAGGAGAUCUCUCUCCCCCCUUAAAUUCACCAUCUAAGUGCCUACUCUUUUCCCCCCUUCACCCCCACCACUGUUCAAAACCUAGGCUGUGUCCUAAAUACUGAGCUUGAGCACUCCUCUGGGUCAUUUCGAGUGGUGCCUGGACAUUCAGAUUUAU